GCGCGAUUAGCUCAGGGGGAGAGCACUACCUUGACACGGUAGGGGUCGUAAGUUCAAAUCUUACAUCGCGCACCA
rnacentral:tRNA from 1 species